UGGUGGAGGCAGAUGUUGCUGGGGGAAUUGCUAUUCCCAAAGCUCUUGAGUUCAGGAUUUUAGGCUAUCUCCAACUGAGGGAACAUUGUGGUCAUGCUGAAUCCAUGGGAAUGGAUUCACAAAUGAAGUUCCACAAGAAAGCAGUAUGGACUGGAAUGAAUUAAAAGAAUUAUAACAUGUCCAGCUAUGAAUUCUUCUGCCAAAAUGGCUCUGAUCACCAAAGUGGAAAUCUAUUUAAGAAAGUGAUGGAGAAAAUUUGGAUAAUGCAUACAUUUUUCCCCCUGGAGAGGUGGUUGUUAAAAAAUUAUUAGUUCAUUGAUACCUGGAGUGCAUCAAGAGGAGUUUGGUUUCUUGUGGACCAGUUUAACCUGUGCAAGAAGGGUGGAUGGAGACAAGAGAGAGAAAAAGAAAAACAAUCAUCUUAUCCUUUAUUACAUGGACUGGACGUGGCACAUGAUUAUUAUUCUUAAGUCUUAUGAUGUAGAACUGAGAGUUCAAUUUUCUUUUAAUAUAUGAAGAAACUGAGGCUUAGAAAGGAAAAUUGGCUUGUCCAAGAACAUACAAUUAGGACACAGAAAUGUAAGGAUUUUCAAGUAGACUUUUGGACUCCAAAUCUUAUAUAUAUCAUAAUUCCAUGUUACUUCUGCACAGCAUGAAGCAUUCAGAUAAAAUCAAUGUAAGAUCUGACCAUAUGGAUGUUUCCAAACAACAAGAUAUUGAUAUUUUCCAAAAGGCAAAAUGUCUGCAUUAUUUGGUCACUUUAAAAAUCUUCAUUUAAAUUUUGGCAUUGCAUAGACAUAGAGUAAUUUUUUCCCAAACAGACUGAGUUUCUUUUUUUCAUUCUAACAGCUGGGGAGAUGAUUCUCUGAGAAGGGAGAAGCUUUGCCAAGAAAAACCAAUCUGAUUUCUACCUACAUCUCACAAAAUUCUUUUAAAUAUUAAUUAGAAAAAGGAAGAAUGACAAGUAAGCUUCAAGGAAAUAUAAUAAUGGUCAUUAAUAGGAUAUUUGGUGAAAAGGCAAGACUAUCUAUGUAGCUUUGACCCACUAAAUAGCUUCACCACCCAUUCACUCUAAAAGGAGAAAUAAGCCUUUUCGUUCAUAAUGAAAAUUGAAACUUAGAAUACAGGUACACAAUUCCAAUAACGAAAUUGGAGGAGAAAAGAUCAAUGACAGUAACUCAAUAUAUAGAGACAUCAGAAAGAAGAAGACCAGAAUGUGAUAUACUGCUGAACUAAAUGGACAAAGGUUAAUAAUAGCUUCUUAGAACUUUCUACCCAGAACAUCACUAUUUUGCAUAGUCCAAAAAAGAAGGGGUAAAUUUAAAAUUAUUCUUAAUGCAGUAUCUCUUAAUCCAUUUUCUACUUGUGGAAGUAGAGCCUGAGGAGAUUUAUCUCAGAAUUACUGGUGUAAUGAGAUCUAAGAUAUAAAUGGAUUUUGACUAUAAUUUAUAUGACAGUUCAACUGAAGAUCCAGGGGAUAUGAUAGAGGAUGGAGCAGUUCAGUUAAGAAGGAGAACAACAGUUAACAGAAAAGUUCUAAGAAGAAUUAACAGGGUAGAUUUUAUUUCAGACUAAACCUGACUGAGGAGAAAGAACUUCUUAACCAUUGGUUGAGAUAGCUGACUCAGAAGACCACAGUGAGCUCCGCGACUACUCAUCAAGAAUAGUGAUUGAAGAGAUCUAUAACCUUGACUGCAAGGGAAAGACAUUAAUCAUAGCGCCUCUAUUAGACGGAAGACUGAUCAAUGGGUGGCCCUGAGGAUUCUUAAGUGAGGUAAAGAACAGGCUGGCAGAGGAAGCGGUGCUUUCUAUUGAGUCUCUUCUCCACAGAGUAGAAGCACAUUAACUAUUCCACUCCUGCCCCCAGUGAAUGGUGGAAGUAACUAAAAGAGCUGGGAAAGGAGCUGUAAUGAUCCUAUCUAUAAUUCAUGUUGUAUGACCCAGAAAAUAGAGUUGAUGGUUAGCUGGAGUAUAGGGCAGCACCUAGAAUGAAGAAAUCUCUGGAGAACAGUACAUGGUGGGGAAUAGAUUCAGCUGAAGAGUAGCAGCAUAUAUCAGAAGACUUCAGCAGUUUUGCAGUUUGGAAGGCUUGAAAUGACUUUCUGCAUUCAAUUUUGAGGCUGCUUGCUCUCAUAUCUGACUCCAGGCUGAAUCAGUAGCAGAGAGUGGGAAGAUCCUUUCUUCGGCUCCUUGUCACCCAAUGCUAAAGACCGAGGGAGAACAGAUGAGGACAUGAAGAUCUGAGAAAUUAAUUGACUUCACCAAGGCCACAGAGAUUGCAUGCCAGAACUGAAAAUCCUUUAACUUAAAAGGACUUUGUCAUUGGUUUUGUGUUCGUUCCACAGUGUCAGAAGCUAUCUCUUCUCAGAACUGGUGGUGAUAGUAGAGAAAUGGAACAAAAGCUCCCACUCUGCAUGCUUUGCCUAAUAAACUAGUUUGAAUUACUAAUGGCCAACAUAGUUGUAUUUUUCUUGGCUCAAUUCUGACAAUUAAGAAUGAUAAGAUGGACCAACAUAGGUAUCAUAUCAGCACAUGCUGAAUGUCUAAAAUAAAUCAAUAAUACCGUCAGUGUUGAUCAAUAGGAUGAACUUCAUUCAUCCAGGGAAUCAAAAGAUUUUAGCUGUGCCUCUAAUUAGUUAUAUGAUUUUGGGUCAGUCACUUAAGCUUUCUAAACUUCAUUUUCCUCAUCUAUAGAAUGGGGAUAACUGUCUCUGCCUGACCUUCCUUAAUAAAGCUACUAUGAGUACCAACUCAAAUAUUGGAUGAUAAGACAAAAGUUUUAAAAUCAAUGCUCAAGUUCUAUGAUGUGAAAGUACUUUGAAAAGUAUAAAGGCCUCUAA